UGCAGGCUGAGGAGGUCCGCCAUCAUUGCUGCCACCACCAGAGGGGUGAGUGGAGUGGAGCAGAGCCGGAAGGGCCGGUUACAGUCUAUCGCUGUGCAGUACAAACAAAAUGCAGAGGACGUGGUGAAGUGGCCAGAAUCAAAGCAGCUGUCCAGGAUAAAGUCUCCAGCUCCAAGACCAUGUCAUGCAAGGUGAAGAAAGAGAGUACACUGCCAUUGCAAUUAAAUAAAUGUCCCGGCCUCCGUGAUGUCAACUGUCUUUCUGGAGGACACUCAAAAGCUUUCAUCUUUAUUGUUAACUGUGGCAAUA